rnacentral:rRNA from 1 species
GAAGAAAGAGGGAGGAGGGAGGAACACAGGCAAGUCGAACGGAAAGGCCCUGCUUUUGUGGGGUGCUAGAGUGGCGAACGGGUGAGUAACACGUGAGUAACAUGCACUUGACUUUGGGAUAACUUCAGGAAACUGGGGCUAAUACCGGAUAGGAGCUCCUGCUGCAUGGUGGGGGUUGGAAAGUUUCGGCGGUUGGGGAUGGACUCGCGGCUUAUCAGCUUGUUGGUGGGGUAGUGGCUUACCAAGGCUUUGACGGGUAGCCGGCCUGAGAGGGUGACCGGCCACAUUGGGACUGAGAUACGGCCCAGACUCCUACGGGAGGCAGCAGUGGGGAAUAUUGCACAAUGGGCGGAAGCCUGAUGCAGCAACGCCGCGUGCGGGAUGACGGCCUUCGAUUUGUAAACCGCUUUCGCCUGUGACGAAGCGUGAGUGACGGUAAUGGGUAAAGAAGCACCGGCUAACUACGUC